AUUGAACGCUGGCGGCAGGCCUAACACAUGCAAGUCGAGCGGAGCGGCGGACGGGUGAGUAAUGCCUAGGAAUCUGCCUGGGCGUGGGGGAUAACGUCCGUAAAGGGGCGCUAAUACCGCAUACUAUCAGAUAAGCCUAGGUCGGAGUAGCUAGUUGGUGGGGUAAAGGCCUACCAAGGCGACGAUCAGUAAAUGGUCUGAGAGGAUGAACAGUCACACUGGACCUGAUACACGGUCAAGACUCCUAAGGUAGGCAGCAGUGGGGAAUAUUGUACAAUGGGCGAAAGCCUGAUCCAGCCAGGCCUCGUGUGUGAAGAAGGUCUUCGGAUUGUAAAGCACUUUAAGUUGGUAGGCGUUACCAACAGAAUAAGCACCGGCUAACUUCGUGCCAGCCGCCGCGGUAAUAC
rnacentral:rRNA from 1 species